rnacentral:rRNA from 1 species
UACGGGGGGGGCAAGCGUUGUUCGGAAUUACUGGGCGUAAAGGGCUCGUAGGCGGCCCUCUCAGUCGGAUGUGAAAUCCCCAGGCUCAACCUGGGAACUGCGUCUGAUACUGGAUGGCUUGAAUUCGGGAGAGGGAUGCAGAAUUCCAGGUGUAGCGGUGAAAUGCGUAGAUAUCUGGAGGAAUACCGGUGGCGAAGGCGGCAUCCUGGACCGACAUUGACGCUGAGGAGCGAAAGCUAGGGGAGCAAACGGG